rnacentral:rRNA from 1 species
CGGAAUCUGCCUAUUUGUGGGGGAUAACGUAGGGAAACUUACGCUAAUACCGCAUACGACCUACGGGUGAAAGCGGAGGACCUUCGGGCUUCGCGCAGAUAGAUGAGCCGAUGUCGGAUUAGCUAGUUGGCGGGGUAAAGGCCCACCAAGGCGACGAUCCGUAGCUGGUCUGAGAGGAUGAUCAGCCACACUGGAACUGAGACACGGUCCAGACUCCUACGGGAGGCAGCAGUGGGGAAUAUUGGACAAUGGGCGCAAGCCUGAUCCAGCCAUGCCGCGUGGGUGAAGAAGGCCUUCGGGUUGUAAAGCCCUUUUGUUGGGAAAGAAAAGCAGUCGGUUAAUACCCGAUUGUUCUGACGGUACCCAAAGAAUAAGCACCGGCUAACUUCGUGCCAGCAGCCGCGGUAAUACGAAGGGUGCAAGCGUUACUCGGAAUUACUGGGCGUAAAGCGUGCGUAGGUGGUUUGUUAGGUCUGAUGUGAAAGCCCUGGGCUCAACCUGGGAAUUGCAUUGGAUACUGGCAGGCUAGAGUGCGGUAGAGGGUAGUGGAAUUCCCGGU